GUUGAACGCUGGCGGCAGGCCUAACACAUGCAAGUCGAGCGGAUGAAGGGAGCUUGCUCCUGGAUUCAGCGGCGGACGGGUGAGUAAUGCCUAGGAAUCUGCCUGGUAGUGGGGGAUAACGUCCGGAAACGGGCGCUAAUACCGCAUACGUCCUGAGGGAGAAAGUGGGGGAUCUUCGGACCUCACGCUAUCAGAUGAGCCUAGGUCGGAUUAGCUAGUUGGUGGGGUAAAGGCCUACCAAGGCGACGAUCCGUAACUGGUCUGAGAGGAUGAUCAGUCACACUGGAACUGAGACACGGUCCAGACUCCUACGGGAGGCAGCAGUGGGGAAUAUUGGACAAUGGGCGAAAGCCUGAUCCAGCCAUGCCGCGUGUGUGAAGAAGGUCUUCGGAUUGUAAAGCACUUUAAGUUGGGAGGAAGGGCAGUAAGUUAAUACCUUGCUGUUUUGACGUUACCAACGGAAUAAGCACCGGCUAACUUCGUG
rnacentral:rRNA from 1 species